UGAGAACAAUCUCGGGAAACUGAGGCUAAUUCUCGAUAGGUCAAGAUUCCUGGAAUGGGUUUUGGCUUAAAGGGGAUAACAACAUCUUGUUAUUUCGCACGAGGAUGGGACUGCGGCCGAUCAGGCUGUUGGUGGGGUAAAGGCUCACCAAACCAGUAACCGGUACGGGCUUUGAGAGAAGGAGCCCGGAGAUGGACACUGAGACAAGGGUCCAGGUCCUACGGGGCGCAGCAGGCGCGAAACCUUCGCAAUGUGCGAAAGCACGACGAGGUUAUUCCGAGUGAUUUCCGCUGAGGAAAUCUUUUCUCAGAUCUAAAAUGUCUGGGGAACAAGGGGAGGGCAAGUCUGGUGUCAGCCGCCGCGGUAAUACCAGCUCCUCGAGUGGUCAGGGCGUUUAUUGGGCCUAAAGCAUCCGUAGCCGGCUCAGUUGGUCUCCUGUUAAAUCCAACGGCUUAACCGUUGGUCUGCAGGAGAUACCGCUGGGCUAGGAGGCGGGAGAGGCGGACGGUACUCCGAGGGUAGGGGUAAAAUCCUUUGAUCCCCGGAAGACCACCAGUGGCGAAGGCGGUCCGCCAGAACGCGCUCGACGGUGAGGGAUGAAAGCUGGGGGAGCGAACCGGAUUAGAUAGGCAGCUAUAGGAAAUUAUGAUAUUUCUUAUCUGCCCUAAAUACCCGGGUAGUCCCAGCCGUAAACGAUGCGAGCUAGGUGACACAACGCCUUCGGGGCGUUGUGGUGCCGCAGGGAAGCCGUUAAGCUCGCCGCCUGGGGAGUACGGACGCAAGUCUGAAACUUAAAGGAAUUGGCGG
rnacentral:rRNA from 1 species